UGGAGUUCUUGUANAAGGGGGGUAAAAUUCCAGGGUGAACCGGGUGAAAUUGCGUANAGAUCUGGAGAAAUACCGGGUGGCGAAGGCGGCCCCCCUGGACAAAGACUUGACGGNUCAGGUGCGAAAGCGUGGGAAGCAAACAGGAUUAGAUACCNUGGUAGUCCACGCUGUAAACGAUGUCGACUUGGAGGUUGUUCCCUUGAGGAGUGGCUUCCGGAGCUAACGCGUUAAGUCGACCGCCUGGGGAGUACGGCCGCAAGGUUAAAACUCAAAUGAAUUGACGGGGGCCCGCACAAGCGGUGGAGCAUGUGGUUUAAUUCGAUGCAACGCGAAGAACCUUACCUACUCUUGACAUCCANNGAAUUUAGCAGAGAUGCUUUNGUGCCUUCGGGAACUGUGAGACAGGUGCUGCAUGGCUGUCGUCAGCUCGUGUUGUGAAAUGUUGGGUUAAGUCCCGCAACGAGCGCAACCCUUAUCCUUUGUUGCCAGCGAUUCGGUCGGGAACUCAAAGGAGACUGCCAGUGAUAAACUGGAGGAAGGUGGGGAUGACGUCAAGUCAUCAUGGCCCUUACGAGUAGGGCUACACACGUGCUACAAUGGCAUAUACAAAGAGAAGCGACCUCGCGAGAGCAAGCGGACCUCAUAAAGUAUGUCGUAGUCCGGAUUGGAGUCUGCAACUCGACUCCAUGAAGUCGGAAUCGCUAGUAAUCG
rnacentral:rRNA from 1 species